CCUACGGGAGGCAGCAGUCGAGAAUCAUUCACAAUGGGGGAAACCCUGAUGGUGCGACGCCGCGUGGGGGAAUGAAGGUCUUCGGAUUGUAAACCCCUGUCAUGUGGGAGCAAAUUAAAAAGAUAGUACCACAAGAGGAAGAGACGGCUAACUCUGUGCCAGCAGCCGCGGUAAUACAGAGGUCUCAAGCGUUGUUCGGAAUCACUGGGCGUAAAGCGUGCGUAGGCUGUUUUGUAAGUCGUGUGUGAAAGGCGCGGGCUCAACCCGCGGACGGCAGAUGAUACUGCGAGACUAGAGUAAGGGAGGGGGAACCGGAAUUCUCGGUGUAGCAGUGAAAUGCGUAGAUAUCGAGAGGAACACUCGUGGCGAAGGCGGGUUCCUGGACAUUAACUGACGCUGAGGCACGAAGGCCAGGGGAGCGAAAGGGAUUAGAUACCCUAGUAGUC
rnacentral:rRNA from 1 species